rnacentral:rRNA from 1 species
GACGAACGCUGGCGGCGUGCCUAACACAUGCAAGUCGAACGGAAGUAAGUGCUUCGGUAUUUACUUUAGUGGCGAACGGGUGAGUAACGCGUGAGGAACCUGCCUUUCAGUGGGGGACAACAGUUGGAAACGACUGCUAAUACCGCAUGACGCUUCUUAGGGGCAUCCCUGAGAAGUCAAAGCUUUAUGUGCUGAAAGAUGGCCUCGCGUCUGAUUAGCUGGUUGGCGGGGUAACGGCCCACCAAGGCAAUGAUGCGUAGCCGGCCUGAGAGGGCGAACGGCCACAUUGGGACUGAGACACGGCCCAA